GAAAAACGCGCUGAGUGGCGCGCGCUGGACAUGACAGAUACCACAGAUCUGACAGACUCGCCUCAGGGCUGAAAAUGUAUGAGCACACGACUAAUGAGAGACAUGGAAUGACCUUUUGGCCGGCUGUGUCCCAGACUGAAUGACACUGGACCACAGAAGAGGAUGAGUCAACGGCAUUGUCUUGAGAAGAUCUGUCUUUGAUGGGUCAGAGAGUUCAUUAGGAGAGCUUAAAAAGCUUUAGUGUCCACAUGGUCAACACAAGUGCCCAUUGAAAAAUAAUUAGGCACAACACUGUUGGCUCUGCUGACAAAAACAUCUAAAAAAAAUAUUUCUUUUGUCAUACCAAAUCAACAAUGCUGAGCUUUUUUCCUUUUAUUUUUAAUUGUUCAUAAUCAAACCCAAAUAAUUUUUUGGUUGUGCAAUUGAUAUGAUCAUAUUUGAUAUUCACAGUUUUACCAUGUUUUUUUUUUUGUGUGUUUAACAAACUAAAAGUUGAUUUAAUUGAGUAAAGUUUAUAUUUAAACAUUGUAAAGUAAUGGUAAAACAUUGUUUCCCAUGUAAAAUAUAUUUUGAUGUUUACUUUGUAAAAGUCAUGACUGAUUUCUUUACAAAAAGACAUUUGCUAUAGUUACCAAAAGGCCCUUUACUUUAAUAAAACAUGGCUAUGGGAACAAAAUUAAA